CGCACACGCGCCGGACCGGGUACCUCUGUGCCCGACCUGGCCGCGGCCUAGUCCCGGCAGACGGGACUGACGAGGUCACCAACACCAGGCCGAGACGGCGUGGGUGUCAGGGACUUGGGAAUCCCCCUCCCCCAGUCCCGAUCCCGCUUUCCUCUGGGGUGAAACCCCAGAGGACCCGACGUCACUCUUGCAGAACAGCCAUCUACCUGUCUUCCUAGCUCGCUCCCCGCAGGAAUGGUCUGGGGCAACCCCAGCAACAUGCCCACCUGUGGCCAGGAUGAAUAGGAAUCCAGUUCAGGCUUGGCUUCCAUGGCAAUCAAGGCCCACCAGGCCCCAGCAACCUUCCCUACCCCCCAUUCCUUUUUGCUGCCCCCCUCCACACCGGGCAUGUUCCCUGCCACACCAUGCUGUUCCCCUCACCUGGGCUGCCCUCCCAACUCCUUUCUGCCUCUGGAGAUGCUCUGCCAUUCAAGACUUGGCUCAGGCUCCAGGUCCUCCCUGGGCCUUCUAGAGCCCCUGGUUCUCACUCCUCUGAACACUUCCAGCCUGGCUAACAGCCCACUGCAUCCUGGCCUGGGGUACAGGUGGCCAGCACAGGUGUGGGGGUCAGCUUCCAACACAAGCACGGGUAGGUCCCUCUGCAGACCGUGGGCUGCGAGAGGCCCGGCCUUGCCCACUGCAGGGGCCCUGCGCAGGGCUGGGCAUGAAGCAGGUGGGUGUCCACCAAUCUAGUAUCCAAAAUCCUGCUUGGUUCACCCCCACCUCUGUUGAAGGAAAGCAACACUGUGAUGGAGAGGAGCAGCUGUGGAUUCAAAUCCUGGCUUGGCCACUUUCUAGUUGUGUGACUUGGUGCAUCUGCCCUCAUCUCCUCAGAGACAAAAAUGGCAACACCUCCCUUCUUGGGUUACUAUGAGGAUUAAAUAACAAAACCUCCAAGAAGCAGA
rnacentral:antisense_RNA from 1 species